rnacentral:misc_RNA from 1 species
UAAGAAGCCUUUAAUAUCAAAAGCAUCAACAGCAACCUUCGUGAUGACACCCUUUUCCGUCAUGAUUGCAGUUAUCAGAUUAGCGGGAGUAACGUCAAACGCAGGGUUCCAGACAGAGAUACCAGAUGCAGCUACUUGUUUUCCAAGGCCUCCAUCAGCAUUCAACAACUCCUUUGGUGAUCUUUCCUCUAUAGCAAUUUGUUUCCCAGAAGAAAGUGACAGAUCAAUAGAGGUAACAGGUGCUGCCACAUAAAAUGG